rnacentral:lncRNA from 1 species
ACCUGUAAUUAAGGAAAUUGCACAACUUAUGAAACAACCCGGGUCAAAUCCCGAGUUCGGAACAAAUCUUGGGUCAAAUUCCAAGUCCGAAUCGAAUCAAAUCCAUCCAAAUAAGGCCUCAAACCACUGGCCCAAUAGUAUUUUCUUGGGCCAUCUAGCCCACCACAGGCUCCCAAAAGGUCAUGACUUGAAGGUACUAUUAGUAGUAACUUAUUUCCUUAUAUGCAGACAAAUUUUUCCCCUAUCUUUCGAUGGAUCUGAUACCAUAUGAAACAACCCGGGUCAAAUCCCGAGUUCGGAACAAAUCUUGGGUCAAAUCCCAAGUCCGAAUCGAAUCAAAUCCAUUCAAAUAAGGCUUCAAACCACUGGCCCAAUAGUAUUUUCUUGGGCCAUCUAGCCCACCACAGGCUCCCAAAAGGUCAUGACUUGAAGGUACUAUUAGUAGUAACUUAUUUCCUUAUAUGCAGACAAAUUUUUCCCCUAUCUUUCGAUGUGGGACUAGGGUGUUACAACUUAUAAUAAACCAAUUAAAAUGAAUGCUUAAUUAAAUUAAAACAAAUCUAUUUUUCAUCAAACUAACUAAUUAAUUACAUU